CUCAGAUUGAACGCUGGCGGCAUGCUUACACAUGCAGUCGAACGGUACAGGCGAGAGCUUGCUCUUGCGCUGACGAGUGGCGGACGGGUGAGUAAUGCGUAGGAAUCUGCCCUGCAGCGGGGGAUAGCCCGGGGAAACCCGGAUUAAUACCGCAUACGCUCUACGGAGGAAAGUGGGCCUCUUCAUGAAAGCUCACACUGCAGGAUGAGCCUACGUCCGAUUAGCUUGUUGGUGGGGUAAAAGCCUACCAAGGCGACGAUCGGUAGCUGGUCUGAGAGGAUGAUCAGCCACACCGGGACUGAGACACGGCCCGGACUCCUACGGGAGGCAGCAGUGGGGAAUAUUGGACAAUGGGCGAAAGCCUGAUCCAGCAAUGCCGCGUGUGUGAAGAAGGCCUGCGGGUUGUAAAGCACUUUUAUCAGGGAAGAAACGGCCUGGCCUAAUACGUCAUGGCAAUUGACGGUACCUGAAGAAUAAGCACCGGCUAACUCCGUGCCAGCAGCCGCGGUAAUACGGAGGGUGCAAGCGUUAAUCGGAAUUACUGGGCGUAAAGCGUGCGCAGGCGGCUGCCUAAGUCGGAUGUGAAAGCCCCGGGCUUAACCUGGGAAUUGCAUUCGAUACUGGGUAGCUAGAGUUUGGUAGAGGUAAGUGGAAUUCCGGGUGUAGCGGUGAAAUGCGUAGAUAUCCGGAGGAACAUCAGUGGCGAAGGCGGCUUACUGGACCAAAACUGACGCUCAGGCACUAAAGCGUGGGUAGCANACCAGGAUUAGAUACCCUGGUAGUCCACGCCCUAAACGAUGUCAACUAGCCGCUGGGUCCCUUUAAUAGGACUUAGUGGCGAAGCUAA
rnacentral:rRNA from 1 species